rnacentral:lncRNA from 1 species
CUUUGUACGUAGAUGAUUACUGUUAGUUGGAGGAACUAUACUAGUUCUUUCCAACUAAAUAUACAUAUGUACAGAGGGAAUAUACAACAAUUGAAAUAUCAAACGACACAAUGAAUCUUUACCAUGUGGCGAGACCGCUUUGCUGAAAUCAUCCAUCAGGUCUAUGCUCCUGAAGCCUGUGAAAUCUAUCUUAAAUUUGCUUGGACCGCCCUGUUUUGUGUACUGCUCAGUGUGUUUAUCUUGCCGUCUUGUAUCCAAGGCUGUCACUUCCCUGCUUGAUACCUGGACUGCUUCAUCUUUGUCUACGCCAAGGUCAAAUGAGGGGAUCUCUGUGUUCAGCGACGAAUGAGGUCCAUAAAUCCACUUCCUACCAUCUGCUGAUUGAGCCUGAAUUGGCAUUUGG